AAUCAACGCUGGCGGCGUGCCUCAGACAUGCAAGUCGAACGAUUAAAGCUCUCUUCGGAGAGUGUAUAGAGUGGCGCACGGGUGAGUAACACGUAAGUAAUCUACCUUUGAGUGGGGAAUAACCCGGGGAAACCCGAGCUAAUACCGCAUAAUGCAGCGGCACCGCAAGGUGACAGUUGUUAAAGGAGCAAUCCGCUUAAAGAGGAGCUUGCGGCAGAUUAGCUAGNGGUAAGGUAAUGGCUUACCAAGGCUUCGAUCUGUAUCCGGCCUGAGAGGGCGGUCGGACACACUGACACUGAAUAACGGGUCAGACUCCUACGGGAGGCAGCAGUCGGGAAUUUUGGGCAAUGGGCGAAAGCCUGACCCAGCAACGCCGCGUGAAGGAUGAAGCAUUUCGGUAUGUAAACUUCGAAAGAAUGGGAAGAAUCAAUGACGGUACCAUUUAUAAGGUCCGGCUAACUACGUGCCAGCAGCCGCAGUAAG
rnacentral:rRNA from 1 species